GACGAACGCUGGCGACGUGCUUAACACAUGCAAGUCGAACGGAAAGGCCCUGCUUUUGUGGGGUGCUCGAGUGGCGAACGGGUGAGUAACACGUGAGUAACCUGCCCUUGACUUUGGGAUAACUUCAGGAAACUGGGGCUAAUACCGGAUAGGAGCUCCUGCUGCAUGGUGGGGGUUGGAAAGUUUCGGCGGUUGGGGAUGGACUCGCGGCUUAUCAGCUUGUUGGUGGGGUAGUGGCUUACCAAGGCUUUGACGGGUAGCCGGCCUGAGAGGGUGACCGGCCACAUUGGGACUGAGAUACGGCCCAGACUCCUACGGGAGGCAGCAGUGGGGAAUAUUGCACAAUGGGCGGAAGCCUGGUGCAGCAACGCCGCGUGCGGGAUGACGGCCUUCGGGUUGUAAACCGCUUUCGCCUGUGACGAAGCGUGAGUGACGGUAAUGGGUAAAGAAGCACCGGCUAACUACGUG
rnacentral:rRNA from 1 species